GAAGGAACUAGGCAAAAUGGUGCCGUAACUUCGGGAGAAGGCACGCUGACAUGUAGGUGAAGCCCCUGCGGGUGGAGCUGAAGUCAGUCGAAGAUACCAGCUGGCUGCAACUGUUUAUUAAAAACACAGCACUGUGCAAACACGAAAGUGGACGUAUACGGUGUGACGCCUGCCCGGUGCCGGAAGGUUAAUUGAUGGGGUUAUCGCAAGAGAAGCUCCUGAUCGAAGCCCCGGUAAACGGCGGCCGUAACUAUA
rnacentral:rRNA from 1 species